GAAAUGCGAUAAGUAAUGUGAAUUGCAGAAUUCCGUGAAUCAUCGAAUCUUUGAACGCACAUUGCGCCCUCUGGUAUUCCGGGGGGCAUGCCUGUCCGAGCGUCAUUGCGAACCCCUCAAUCACGGCUUGUGUGAUGGGCCCUCCCGCGUCUUGGUCGUCAAGACGGGCCCGAAAAGCAGUGGCGGCUUCGCGGUUAUCCGAUCAGCCAGAGCGUAUGGGGACUUUCUCUCUGUCACACGCCCGCGGCGCGGACCGACGCCUGUCGACCUUUAUUCAUCUUUUUCUCGGUCGACCUCGGAUCAGGUAGGGAUACCCGCUGAACUUAAGC
rnacentral:misc_RNA from 1 species